rnacentral:lncRNA from 1 species
UUAAAAUAAAAGUUAGAAAAAAAAAAACAAAAACAAAGAAUUUGAGCCUAGGUCACUUGUUCCCUUUCCCUGCCUCAGUGAAAUCAUGAGUUGAGAUACAGCUUCUACCAGCCUGGGUCCCCAGGAUCCAAAUCAGGAUACCACCUUAAAUUUAACAUAAUGCCCUUAAAAAUGAAAAAGGUCAGAACCAAGCUCUAUCCACAGAAUCAAAUCAAAAUUUCACUUUGGCAUCCUUCUUUUGCUCACCCUUCACCCUGUUCCCCACCCGUUGUAUGUGCACUCAGCUAGCUCUAUGUUUCCUCUGUACAUCCUUCCUGCUUGAAUUUGAUAGUCUCAAUUUUUCAGUCAAGUUAGUUCUUAACAAUUUUGAGGUCAUGGGACCACUCUGAGAAUCUAAUAGAAGCUAUGGAGUCUCUGAGAACACUGCACAGAUAAAAACAAUUUAGCAUCCAAUUUCAGAGCAGUCAGAUACUAAUCCACUUCCCUCCUCCCCAAGGGCCUCUAAGUAUAGAACCACCUUGCACAGUUUGGCUUCCCCAGGCAUUGAUUCUGCAAUAAAAUCAUCACAACUCACUAUCAAUCCCUCUUCCAAGGCAAUUUCUCCAGAUCCUGCACAUUGUGCAGUGCUCCAUACUCUGGGUCUUGGCCAACCUUAGCUGUCCAGCCACUGCCUCGGGCUGAAGCUGAGAAGGGCUGGCUGGGCAGAGCUCUUCCACUGGGCCCUGAAGGCAGCUGGACUCCCUCUCCAGCCAACUUGGCUGUGAGCAUAGAACCCCCACAAAUUCUGCUUGACCCAACACCUCUUCUGAGCCCACUUUCUCCAGGGGUGGGUAGAAAUAUCUCAGAAUGUUAAAACUUCUCAGUCCGCAAGCCAUGUUAUCAUCUGGAUUUCAACAAAGAAAAGUGACUCCAGCAUGCAGAGUGGGAUCAACUUGCUCUACCAACUCUGGAUCUUCUGUCAUCUGGAAAUGACGGGGAUCUUGUACUCACGGGCAAUGCCUGCCUACUAUUAUCUUUGGAAUCAGCAUGUGAGGCCCCCUACAGUGCCUCAUCCAUCUGACUCAUGCCGAAGAUGGUCCAGGCGUCACCUGAGCUAUGCUACCUUUGGUAAAGACCCAUGCAGGCUUCUCUUUGCCCUGGAGUCACACUUUCUCCCCUAUUGACACCCCAGCCAGGAUCACACCAAUACCUCCAACAUCAAUCAGAAGUCAACAAGAAUGGAAAACAGACUAAAGUAACUUCUAUGGACAGGGCUGGGUCUA